UACGUAGGUGGCAAGCGUUGUCCGGAUUUACUGGGCGUAAAGAGCGCGCAGGCGGUCGUUCAAGUCGCGUGUGAAAGCCCCCGGCUCAACUGGGGAGGGUCACGCGAUACUGAUCGACUGGAAGGCAGGAGAGGGUAGUGGAAUUCCCGGUGUAGUGGUGAAAUGCGUAGAUAUCGGGAGGAACACCAGUGGCGAAGGCGACUACCUGGCCUGUUCUUGACGCUGAGGCGCGAAAGCUAGGGGAGCAAACAGG
rnacentral:rRNA from 1 species